GAUGAACGCUGGCGGCGUGCCUAAUACAUGCAAGUCGAGCGAACGGACGAGAAGCUUGCUUCUCUGAUGUUAGCGGCGGACGGGUGAGUAACACGUGGAUAACCUACCUAUAAGACUGGGAUAACUUCGGGAAACCGGAGCUAAUACCGGAUAAUAUUUUGAACCGCAUGGUUCAAAAGUGAAAGACGGUCUCGCUGUCACUUAUAGAUGGAUCCGCGCUGCAUUAGCCAGUUGGUAAGGUAACGGCUUACCAAGGCAACGAUGCAUAGCCGACCUGAGAGGGUGAUCGGCCACACUGGAACUGAGACACGGUCCAGACUCCUACGGGAGGCAGCAGUAGGGAAUCUUCCGCAAUGGGCGAAAGCCUGACGGAGCAACGCCGCGUGAGUGAUGAAGGUCUUCGGAUCGUAAAACUCUGUUAUUAGGGAAGAACAUAUGUGUAAGUAACUGUGCACAUCUUGACGGUACCUAAUCAGAAAGCCACGGCUAACUACGUG
rnacentral:rRNA from 1 species